rnacentral:rRNA from 1 species
AGGACGAACGCUGGCGGCGUGCUUAACACAUGCAAGUCGAGCGGUAAGGCCCUUUCGGGGGUACACGAGCGGCGAACGGGUGAGUAACACGUGAGUAAUCUGCCCUCCACUUGGGGAUAAGCUUCGGAAACGGGGUCUAAUACCUGAUACGACAACUACCUGCAUGGGUUGGUUGUGGAAAGUUUUUUCGGUGGGGGAUGUGCUCGCGGCCUAUCAGCUUGUUGGUGGGGUAAUGGCCUACCAAGGCUUCGACGGGUAGCCGGCCUGAGAGGGUGACCGGCCACACUGGGACUGAGACACGGCCCAGACUCCUACGGGAGGCAGCAGUGGGGAAUAUGGACAAUGGGCGAAGCCUGAUCCAGCAACGCCGCGUGAGGGAUGACGGCCUUCGGUUGUAAACCUCUUUCAGUACCGACGAAGCGCCCGUUGUGGUGGUGACGGUAGGUACGAGAAGAAGCACCGGCCAACUACGUGCCAGCAGCCGC